rnacentral:rRNA from 1 species
CCUGCCGGCAACAUAUGCUCGCGUGAAGGACUAAGCCAUGCAUGUCUAAGAAAAACCCUUUGAGGGGGAAUCCGCGGAAGGCUCAUUAAAUCAGUUAUUAUUUCGCCAGGGCAGUUUUCUUCGGAUAACUGCAGUAAUUCUGGAGCUAAUACGUACGAAAAGCAGGGAUGUCCCUGCUCUACAACUUUGGAAUUCAGGUCCCCAGGUAACUGGGGAAACUCCCCGAGAGGGAGUUGUAGUGGACCGCAUGGCAUGUCCAGCGGACCAUUGGCUGAGUUUCUGCCCUAUCAACUGCAGCUCAGUGUAUCGCACUGUGCUGGUGAUAACGGGUGACGGGGAAUUAGGGUUCGAUUCCGGAGAGGGCGCCUGAGAAAUGGCGACCACUUCUAAGGAAGGCAGCAGGCGCGCAAAUUACCCAAUUUUAGUUCGAAGAGGUAGCGACCAUGCAUAUCGGUGGGUGCUCUUAUAGGGUGCCUAACCGGAAUGAAACGAUUAUAAACAUAUUAGAUAAGGAUCAAUCAGAGGGCAAGUCUGGUGCCAGCAGCCGCGGUAAUUCCAGCUCUGAUAGCGUAUGCUAAAGUUGUUGUGGUUAAAACGCCCGUAGUCUAACUACUUAAGACAAACCUCACGGUGAUCUUUGGAGAGCCGUGGGGGUAGUCUUACUGGCCGGGUGGGUGGUUUACCUUAACUGGUCGAUCACUUUACCUUAGCCGAGUUACCCUGAGUAACUCUACAUGCUCCCAGUAGGUUUUUGCUUGCAAGUUCCAGCUGGGUAUAACGGAAUAUGGGUUUGGCUUUUUGCUGAACUGGAGCCGUGCCGAUGAUUAAUAGGAGCGAUUGGGGGUGUUCGUAUUGUGCCGGGAGAGGUGAAAUUCUGUGAUCGGUGCAAGACGUCCAAGUGCUAAAGCAUUCACCAAGCGCGCUUCCAUUGAUCAAGGACGAAAGUUAGGGGAUCGAAGACGAUCAGAUACCGUCGUAGUCUUAACAGUAAACGAUACCGACCGGGGAUUAGUAGAUGUUACACGGAUGACUCCUCCAGCACCCAAAGAGAAAUCUUCAGUUUUUGGGUUCCGGGGGGAGUAUGGUCGCAAGGCUGAAACUUAAAGGAAUUGACGGAAGGGCACCACCAGGAGUGGAAUCUGCG